GUACUGCUGAGGAAUCCCAUAAUAGGACGAAACGCUCGUCCAGUGC
rfam:Schistosoma mansoni, Puerto Rico, WGS project CABG01000000 data, contig: 0013